rnacentral:rRNA from 1 species
CCCGCACAAGCGGAGGAGCAUGUGGUUUAAUUCGAUGAUACGCGAGGAACCUUACCUGGGCUCGAACGUAAGAUGACUGUAGGUGAAAGCUUACAUCUCUUCGGAGCAUUUUUACGAGGUGCUGCAUGGUUGUCGUCAGCUCGUGCCGUGAGGUGUCGGGUUAAGUCCCAUAACGAGCGCAACCCUACUUUAGUUGCCAUCAGGUAAUGCUGGGGACUCUAAAGGAACUGCCUACGCAAGUAGUGAGGAAGGCGGGGAUGACGUCAAAUCAGCACGGCUCUUACGUCCAGGGCUACACACGUGCUACAAUGGCCGAUACAGAGGGCAGCUACCUGGUGACAGGAUGCAAAUCUCCAAAGUCGGUCUCAGUUCGGAUCGGAGUCUGCAACCCGACUCCGUGAAGUUGGAUUCGCUAGUAAUCGCGCAUCAGCCAUGGCGCGGUGAAUACGUUCCCGGGCCUU